UACAGAGACUGCAAGCGUUAUUCGGAUUCACUGGGCGUAAAGGGUGCGUAGGUGGUCGGGUAAGUCUGAUGUGAAAUCUCCGAGCUCAACUCGGAAAUGGCAUUGGAUACUACUUGGCUAGAGGGUUGGAGGGGGGACUGGAAUACUUGGUGUAGCAGUGAAAUGCGUAGAUAUCAAGUGGAACACCAGUGGCGAAGGCGAGUCCCUGGACAACUCCUGACACUGAGGCACGAAAGCUAGGGGAGCAAACAGG
rnacentral:rRNA from 1 species